rnacentral:lncRNA from 1 species
CCCGGCCCUGCAGGCGGGGAAGUCGUAAAGCUCCUCCCGGUAGCUCAUGGGCGGCGGCAGCCGCGCCGAAGCUUGCGGACACAAAAAGGCCAGCUCAGCUGCCGGUUAUAUCCCCCCCGGCGGCCUGUGGCCAGGCGUCCGCGCACGAGCGCUCCUGGAAGACCUGUAGCCCCGCCGCGAGUUCCGAUCGGCUCCGCGUGAGGAGCGGGCUUCUGCGACGUCACAAGCGCGCGCCUUCGGUGACGUCGCAAGGAUGGGCCUUGGAGCGAUGUCACAGGCGGGGGCGUUCGGCGGCGUCACGGAGGUGGGAGUGUCAGUAGCUGAGCAGUUGUCUCCUGAGAGUGGAGCCUGGUAACCGCGACCUCCCCUCCAGGUCCUGUGUGUUGCUGGCUGGAGAAGGGUAGUUGACAAACUCAGACCCAGCGCAGUGUUUAUGUCGGUCAAAAAUACAAAAAUAUGUCCAGGCGCGACCAAGGCGGGAGGAUCCCUUCAGGCCACGAUCAGUCUAGCAACAUGGCGCGACCCUGUCUCAGUAGUCCUACCUCAGCCCCCCAGCUACUUGAACCCCAAGGUUCAAGGCUCCAAUGAGCUAGGUUCCUUCAGUAAUGAGCAUAUGUUCUUUUUCAAGAUGAUGAUGAUUCUCCACCUUCUAAGAGACCAAAGACCAUUGAGACACCACAGCCACCAGUCCCGUAACCUGCCAAUGCUGGGCAACAGAAAGUGAGGGAGUUCAACUCUGGUAAGUUCUCAGUGAAAUCCACUACCUUUUCCUUCAUCUUCUGGACUCUCAGUGUGACUGAUGAAAGUUACAACAUUCUCUGCAGGGGGAAAUGUUUUAGCAUGUAUUACUACAUUUUAAUCACAUCUUUGUAAAGCCAGGAGCAUUUUGAAAGUCACAUUACAGACAUUGUUUAAACAUAGUUUGUAUUUGCCAAAACAUAGGACACUGUGUCAUCUCGUAUUAAUUAGUUAGUUGGCUCAAAAUUAGUGCUAAUGACUUAGUAAUUCAAUGAUUUCUCUUAGCUUUAAAACCCUUUUUAUUUCAGAACUAUUUCACCUCUUGGUUUUCAUUUUUGCUAUGUGUCACUGCCUGCCAGCUGCUAAUUUAUUAACUCCCAGUGAAUCAUGUGUCCUGUGAAGGGACUGAAUGAGAUGUUAGUGGCAAAUUAU